rnacentral:rRNA from 1 species
UGAGGAAUAUUGGUCAAUGGGCGCGAGCCUGAACCAGCCAAGUCGCGUGAAGGAUGAAGGUUCUAUGGAUUGUAAACUUCUUUUAUGGGGGAAUAAAGUGCGGGACGAGUCCUGUUUUGUAUGUACCUCAUGAAUAAGCAUCGGCUAACUCCGUGCCAGCAGCCGCGGUAAUACGGAGGAUGCGAGCGUUAUCCGGAUUCAUUGGGUUUAAAGGGUGCGUAGGCGGCUUGGUAAGUCAGCGGUGAAAUUCCAGUGCUCAACAUUGGCCGUGCCGUUGAUACUGCUGGGCUUGAAUGCGGAUGCCGUGGGAGGAAUGUGUGGUGUAGCGGUGAAAUGCAUAGAUAUCACACAGAACACCGAUUGCGAAGGCAUCUCACGAAUCCGCAAUUGACGCUGAGGCACGAAAG